rnacentral:snRNA from 1 species
AUCGCUUCUCGGCCUUUUGGCUAAGAUCAAGUGUAGAAUUUAGUACUGUCAAUUUUUAGUAAUAUUUUAAUAUUUAGUACCGUUU